rnacentral:rRNA from 1 species
GUGUCAGCCGCCGCGGUAAUACGUAGGGGGCGAGCGUUGUCCGGAAUUAUUGGGCGUAAAGAGCGUGUAGGCGGUUCGGUAAGUCUGCCGUGAAAACCUGGGGCUCAACCCCGGGCGUGCGGUGGAUACUGCCGGGCUAGAGGGUGGUAGAGGCGAGUGGAAUUCCCGGUGUAGCGGUGAAAUGCGCAGAUAUCGGGAGGAACACCAGUAGCGAAGGCGGCUCGCUGGGCCAUUCCUGACGCUGAGACGCGAAAGCUAGGGGAGCAAACGGGAUUAGAUACCCCUGUAGUCC